GGAACUGAAGUUCACAGAAUACCUGCUGUCCCCUGAGUGCACCGUCUGAAAGCUCACUUCUAUUCCUCGUACCUUUGAAAUCUUCUUCUCCAGGCAGCCGCUCCGAGCCGGGUCGCUUUCAUCAGCUGGGUCGGCGGAGGCCGGCGGUGGAGUUCGAGCCGCCGGCCUCCGCCCGUCCAUCUUGACCGCAAUCUUCUUUGAUACCCGAUCGGCCGAAUGUCACGACGGGAAACUUCAGCUGAGGAAACGUUCUGCUGCUGUGAGAUGGGACGACCUCUGCUGCCAUCGCAUGAACAUGAGAUUUACCCAUCAGCCUCUCUUCGUCUCCACAGGAAGUGACUGCACCGUUCACCGAAUCCUCUCGACACUGAUUCUACUGAAGACUGAACUGAAACCAGCUCGGACUUUAUGAUCCAACCUGUAUUUGAACAUGAUCGUGUUACUGUCACAGACGGAUGCAGCUGUCCACUUGUCCAUGUGCUGCCACAUCAAUGUGACUGGACUUUAGGAACAUGUGAAGAAAACAUCAGAUUUUAAUUUAAGACAGAGCUCCAGUAAAAUAAAUAUAUUAAAAUAAUCAUUUUGAUCAUAAA